rnacentral:siRNA from 1 species
UGUUCAGCGUGGUUCCACUUGA